rnacentral:lncRNA from 1 species
CUAUAUAUACUAUAAUGAGUGUGUUAGUCGAAUCUGGUUUAUAUAAUCCAAGAUUUGAUAGAUCAUGCAUGUCGAUACUGGUGUCUGGAACUUGUUCCAAGGAUUUGUUUAUUAUGUUAUCGUUUAGGUAUUCUUUGGUCUUGGUUUAAAGAGAAUCCUUCUAGAAUUCAUAAUAUUUUUAUAUAAGAAUUCACACACACAUAUAUAAAAGCAUUUUCUUAAGCAAAGGAAUAUUCCCUCCAUUUACAUAUUUGUUUUAAGUUAUUCAUCAAUCCAUUGUGUCAUUGUGUUAUAUACGUAACUGCGUACGCAUAUAUAAACUUAUUUGUUUACUCAGUUAUUUUAACGGCGAAUAGUUCGGUUUUCUUUCGGACCAAGAAUGUUUGAAUCCACAUCCACGGCUGCAGUGACUUCGAUUGAAAUUCGAAUUCAUACCUAAUAGAAAUUGAAACAGUAACUUCUCUGAUUGAAUAAGCUAGUUUCUUCAGCACUAACGACGUGCCAUGUUACUAUAGCUCGAUUGAUACUAUUGUACUCUAUAAAUAUAGUUCUUAAGAGAUAAAGUAAUAGAGCAUGUACGUACGUUUCGGUUAAACUCACAAAUGAAGAUGUUUGAAUGUGCAUGUGCGAUUUUUGCCUUAGUACCGAAGGAAAAGUCCAGGACCGUACAAAGGUAGACAAGAAAUCUCGACCCCUAAGUUGCAACAUCAGUUUUUGAUGUGAUUUGUAUAAAGAAAAUGUUUACGUAUAACUUAUGCAUGUGUGUGUUUCUUUACAAUGAAUGGCCAAUAUAAAAUGCAAACUGUUACACAUAUAUUCAACUGAUCUCGUAAUGUCGUUGUGAGGCAUAUAUAGUGCAACGUGUCCAUAAAUAUUUUGAAAAUAUCUCCUGAUUUUCUUUUUAGGAAUUUAAAGAUUUUGCAACUAAUAAUAAAUUAGGAUAAAAUAAAUAGUUGUCAACAUAUAUAAUUAUUUUAUUUAGUUAAACUUGACUUUUUAUAAUUAUUUGAUUUACAAUUAAAAAAAAAAUCUAGAAUAUGCCCACUGUAUUAGAGAAAGGAAAAACAGGUUUACAAAAUAUGAAAUUGACCCCAAUUGUUUGCUUUUAUUCUCGUUCGACCCUACAUGGCCAACCAUCAAAAGAGUCAUUAUCUUCCUUCAUCGAUUAAUAUAACGAGAAAAGGCUUUCUUUUCAAACCUCUUGAUGUUAAUAGAAUAGUCUAGUCUUAGCUAAACAAAUUAUCUUAACUUAGUGGCAUAGCUGAUAUAUCUCUGUCUCUAUAUAUAUCCAUCGAUAUAUCGAGACAAUUGAUUGAAAAAAUCAAUUACAUAAUUAAGGACUAUAUAUCUCACAUGUAUUAAGAUUUAAGAAUUAAGAAUGAGGAAAAUAGAAAGAAAAAACAAAAAACGAAAACCUUAGAGUCUCAUAUUUGAAAGAGAUGCAAAACGAAUAUUAGGCAACUACUAAGUGAUCUUAAUUAGCGAAGGGAUUACGAACAAACCACCUCUAUUUAUACAUUUAUUUACACAUUUAUGUCAAUGUUUUAAAAAUCAAAACUAUGUAAGAAGAAUAUGAGUUUUUGUUCCUGUUAUUAUCAAGUUUGAUUAAUUUAAUCUAACUUUCACUAGGUACCUAAUCCAACAAGUAAAAAACAUAAUGCUCAUAUUUAACUGAAAAUGGAAUAUUUUUUCUAGGGUACCUUCAUACCAAUUGUUGAGUAUUUCCAUUACUUAAUUUCUAUAUAGAUUUAUAUAACAUUGAUAAAGUAUCCAUUCAUGCAAAUUGACUAGUCACCAGAACCCACCUAUAAAAUAAUUUGGCAAAAACUUCUUUUGGCUUUUCGUUUUCCAGUUCAAUCGAUCGAGAAGGAUUCCACAAUUCAUUUUAAAAGCAAAAUUUUCUGUUAAUAAUUUCAAACCCACCGGUCCUGCUUACUACAUAAUUCACUUGAGUUUUUAUUUUAUAUUUGCCCUUUGUAUGACCAAAAAGUUAUGAGUUCUGCGUGGCCAUAAUCUAUAUCAAUAUCAUAUAAUAUAAAGAGAUAUACUCUUAGGAGUAUACUCAAAUUUCUAUGGCUAUAUACUCGAAUUCAGUGAAAAAUAAAGAUUUGUUUAUGUAAUUAAAUGUCAUAUAAAAUGUGACUAUACAAAGAUAUACACAUUUAAAUAAAUAAUUUGUUGGUAGUCCCUGAAAUCAUUCACCGGUUAUGUUGUUUCGUAAAUAAAUUAUUAUGGAAUGCUAGCAACCAAAAAACCAUUAAACUUGCCUAGCUUCAAGGUAGUAUGUACAUAGAAUAAAAAAAGUGGUUCUUCAAUAUAAAAAACAACUCCACAAUGCUCGCAAAGAAAAAGGGAAAAAGCAAAGGGAAAUAGAUCAAUGCUAAGGAAGAAACAUAAGGGCAUGUGCGUUGAGGUGUUAGGCAGAUUCAGAAUCUUUCAGACCUUUCUUUUUUCUUACCUCUAUGAUCUCUCACAAGCUUGAUUCUAUAUUGUAACUGCAGCCCUAAUAAUAAUUAUAACAUUUUGAUUCCGCUUUUUGAUAUAAAAACCAGUUUUUGCCAAAACGUAAUGUCUUUUGCCUUUGCUUUUAUAAUACUUUUUUCCCCCAAUUUGUGUAUAUGUUUCACUAAGCAACUUGUAUCCCUUUUGCGUUGGGUAAAAAGAGACUUCAUACCACUGACCACACACCACUUACCAAACUUUGCAGUACUAAAAUCUCUCAACUUUGUUCAGUUUUUAUUACUUUUUCUUUAUGAUGAGUUUCAACACAAUUUAACAUUAAACCAAAAAAAAAAAAAAAAGAGAUAUAACACGAAAGAAAAUGUUCAUUAAUUAAACUAUAUGAUCGAUGUUUAUAACGUGCAUAGAAGUUAAAACUUUUUAAUCUGAUCCCCCUUUUUGUAACUUAGUAAGCAAUCCUGAAAGUUAUUUUAUUAAAUAAGAUCUAUAUCUAAUUAGAUAUGAUGAAGUAGUUUUUCUGACCUAAUAAACAUUAAAAUAAAGUUAAUUAGAUGGUUAAUCUGGUUUUUUCUAAUUAUUUUAAAUUACAUUUUAUUUUUAUGAAUGUGAUGUUAUAUUCCUUUGGUAAAGAGCAAUAACAGUCACUUUUUUUUUUGUUCAAUGGGAAUUAUUGAGGUGACUAUUAUUGUUUUUUUGGUAAGUGGUAACCAUAUGGUUUAUAGACAUUUAUAGUGGGAUCUUUUGCAUACCCCAAUCCAUGUCGCAGUUCUAUUCUUUUCUUUAACUGAUUUCGGGUUUAUGAUCAAUUUGAGAUAGUUUUGUUUUAUAUUAAGAAAACCUUGUUGAUUUGGCAUUAAUGAUCUAUUUAACUAUCUUCAAUAUCAUAAGAAAAAUAAUGUAAAAUAAAUUAUGAUUCUAUAUGAAAAUCGAAAAAUAAAACAUAUAUAUAUAUACUGUAUUAUUUAUUUAACGAUCAGUUACAAUGUAAAAAAAAAGGUAAAAAUAAAUGAAGGACAAGCCAAUAGUGUGUCAAGAAGACAAUUAGUACAAAUUACUUUUGUUACAUAUUCCAAUGAAUGCAAGGGACAAAUUGAUUAAUAUGUUACCUAAUUAUCGUCAGACCUCACUUAUUUUGUUUGCUUGAUGAACCAACAUUGUUUAUUUAUAUAUUAUAGUAUAUUAUUACAAUUUCAUUUUAUAAAUAUUGAAAAACAAACAACAAAAGAAACACAAAGGGACACGUGUCGAUCGAGAAACCCAUCUAUGAAGUUUCAACUUAACUUACUAUGGGUCCACAUGCGCACACAGAGCACUGCACGUGACAUGUCCGUACGUCUGACGGUCCAUCUAACAUAAUUACCUUUUUAAUUAGUUAAAUUUAAAAGCUAUAUGUUUACUUGAUAAAGCGAUGAUACUUCUCUUUCACAUUACAUUUUAAAAUACCAUAAUAAUAAUAAUAUAAAAUUUCUUUUAUAUUUUUAUAUUUGUUUUUAUAUUCUUUGAAAUUUAAAUAAUUUUUCAAAAUUUUAAUAGAUUUGAAGCUAAUUUAAAACAAAAAAAUGCACCAAAAUUUACAAUAAAAAUCUUAAACAACACUUAAUAUUUUAAAAAUAAAAAUUAAUCUUAAAAUGAAACUUUUGGUAAAACAGUGAAUGUAUCUAUUUGUAUUUUAUAAUACUUAAAUUAAAGAAUGUACUUUUGAAAAACGUAGGAUAUUAAAAAAAAAAAAACGUAGGAUAUUUGUGCUUUUUGGUAAGAACAAUACUACAUUACAAAUCAGAUGUCUAAAUUAAAUAUACCAGUCCUGAAAAAAAUGUAUAAUGUUUAAUAUUUUAUAAAACAGAGGGAAUACACAAAGAUGUAAUUUUAUUGAUAAAAACACUGAUGUUUUAUACCAAAAUAGAUAUAAAUUUUUAAUAUAAAAAUAUUGUACUAACAUAAUAACUGGUUAAAUUCAUACCUAAUAGAUUUAUAUAUUUUUAAAACAUAGCAUGAUUAUAUUUGUAGAAUUAUUAUUUACUUGCAAAGUAAAUAAUUUAUCUUAUUUGAUUAAUGUUUGAAUUAUUUUGAGGGUGAACAUAAUUUUUGGCAAAGAAUUAUAUAGUGUAGUUUGAUCAAAACAUCAGAAAAAAAAAAUCCAAGCAAUGAUAUAGUGUAGUUUGAUUGUAAUUCCAAUGUAAUUUAUACCACAGUUCCUAGGUUACAUAACAAGUUCACUUUAAUUAUAGUAUAUCUUGUUCAAGUUCUCUUAAACGUAGAGAACUAUUUUUGUAUAUAUUUGUACAAGUAACAAAGUCACAACCCAUGUUGUUUAUAGGUACUUAAUUCAAAUAUUAAUUAAAUAAUUGAUUGAAUUAAUUGAGAUGAGAACAUGAGAGGAUACCGAGAGUACCCAUAGAUGAAUGAGGAAAUAACACCUCUACCCUCCUCAUUCCUCAAUCAUCAUUUGUCUUUAUACUCCAGGUGUCUGUUGCUGAACGGUUAAUUCUGGUACUUUGGGCGGUGAUUCUCAUGUUUAUUACUCUUUAAACAAUGCCAGAAGACAGAACCAGCUUAAUUAUUUCAGUUAUUAUUCUUUUCUUUUUAACCUUUAAAGAUUCUCUCUAAUAGUACUUAAAAUUUUGCUUUAAUACACAAUUACAAUUAAAAAACGUCGUUUGACCAAGAAAAAGCUAAACAUGUUAACUUUAUAACAGAGAAUAAAAAAUUCAAAGGAUUUAAAAAUAAAUACAAUAUUUUCACAUAUGGAAUACUCCAGAUUAUUUCCUCUUUUUCCUAUACAAAAUGUCUAAAAAUAGUCAUUGGUUAUAUACAAAAUACAGAGUCGUAUUAACAUACAAUUAAAACCCAUACAGCAUAAAUGAAAAUUAAAAGAAAAAUAUUGGAAAACAGCUGUAACUUGACUGUUUCGGAAAAUCCCACUUCACAUGCUUCUCCUCCUUCAUCAAACACCUUCCCCAGUUUCUUUUCAAUUUUUUUCUUUUCUAAUAUUCACUUAUUACUCUCUUUAUUUUUAUUUUAUUUUAUUUUAGGUUAAUUAACUUUAUUUGUGGGGGUUAGAUGCUCUAAACACUUUAUCACACUCUCUAUAUAAUCCCCUCCUAAAUCCCUAAUUUACCUCUUCCCCCUUCGCUCUUGAAUCAAUCACUCUCUCUCUCUCUCUCGUUUUUUUUUUCUUCUUGAUUGUUCAUUUUCUUCUGCCUUUUUAACUUCUUUCUCUCUCUCUAUUUUAAGGUUUUUGAUAAUCAGUGUGUGGGUUGUUUGUGUCUUGAUAGUAAUAAUAAUAGUUGGAUGUGGAAAAACUCUGGUGGAUCUUGAUGUUCAAACAUUCAUGUCUCCGGUGAUUAGUGAAAUCCUUAGAUCUGGUUUAACUAUAGACUCGUCUCUUAGACGCAGGACCCAUCUCGUUCAAUCUUUCUCCGUCGUGUUCCUCUACUGGUUCUAUGUUUUCUCAUAAAUCAUCUCUCCUUUAGCCCCCCCUCUAAUAUAUCUAUAUAUUUUCUUUAACCAUCUUAAUAAUAACAUCUAAAACCAUAUAAUAUACUACUUUUCCGUAUUCGUUCUACAUAGUAACGUUUUGGGUCCUGCGUCUUUCCUUUUAGUGUUUUUGUGUGUGUUUUUGAGUCUUUUUUUCUUUCUAUGCAUAAUAAAACUGAAAUGGCAUCGUCGACGAGUGGAAAUAGCUCGUCGACGAUUUCGAUCACCGGUUUACAAAACUCCGGUUCCGAGUCUGAUCUCCGGCAACGGGAUCUGAUAGACGAGAGGAAGCGUAAGAGGAAGCUGUCGAACAGAGAGUCAGCUAGGAGGUCGAGGAUGAGGAAGCAGAAGCAUUUGGACGAUCUCACCGUUCAAGUCACGCAUCUACGCAAAGAGAACGCUCAGCUCGUCGCAGGGAUCGCCGUCACCACGCAACACUACGUCACGAUCGAAGCGGAGAACGAUAUUCUCAGAGCUCAGCUCCUCGAGCUCAACCACCGUCUCCAGUCCCUUAACGAGAUCGUUGACUUCGUUGAAUCAUCAUCAUCAUCAUCUUUCGGAUUCGGCAUGGAGACCGGUCCGGGACUAGUCGACGUCGGUGGUGGCGGAGGGUUUUACGACGGAGUGAUGAAUCAUAUGAGUAUAGGGUUUUAUAAUCAACCAAUCAUGGCUUCUGCUUCUACUGCUGCUGAUGUUUUCGACUGUUGCUAAAAGUAAUCAAAUUCAUAUCAUUAUCAAUAUGUCAUUUUCUUAUAUGAUGCUCUGUUUUAUUAUAUUAUAAGAUGAUUAAUUAACGCUUAUUUAGUGUUUAAACUGAUUGUAAUUAUGGACAGUGUAAGAUGAUAUGUGAUGAAAUCAUGAAGAUGCUGAUGUGAGUUUCGUAUAACUUUUUUAUUUAUUUAUUAUUAUAUAAACAUAAUUUUGUCUUUUAGCUGGGGGUUUCCUAUUUUCCUUAUUUGGGAGUAUAUGUUGCUCUUAUUAGAAAGAUGAGAUUUUUGGCUAUUAGUGAAAAAAAUGUGAAAGAUCGUGGACGGUUUUGUAAGAUGUUUGUGGGUGGUCCAUAAAUAAAUACUAUAUAGAAAUGGUGUGUUGUGAUUAUUGUGUUGGAGACCUAUAUUGUCCGAAUGUGAUAAAUAAUGAUGCGUUUUAGUACUUACAUCUAAAAUGAGUUAUUAUCAUGGGUCACUCGAGUUUUCUCCUUUUUUUUUCAAGAUUCUUACGUACGAGGCACAUGAUCUCACUAUAUGCAUAUAUCAAUUAUUUCGUCUUCCUUUUUUCCUUUAAAAUAUCUACAUGUCAAUUCUAUGAUCGCUGAUUCCGAUCAACUAACAUUGUAUAUGUAGGAUUGUUGUGUCUUAAUUUUUGCAAUAUUUUCAUUUACAAGUUAUUCAACCUCAAACCAUACGUCUCAUGUAUUUUAUAAAUGUUGCUAAUAAUUAAUGCUGUAUUUUUAUUUGUAGUAUUAUGUUUUCUUAUAUUACAAUAAUUGUUUUUUGGUCAUCAUCACUUUUUUUUCGAUACAAGCAAAAUUGGUUAUCGUGUAUGGGUUAUAAAUAUAUAACUUGAUUUUAUUAGAACUGUAUGGUUGAAGCCACUUUAAAAUUUCGUGUACUAACCUCAAACGAAUAUUUUAACCACUAGGUAUGAAUGAGUUUCGAAGUUUUAUUACAAAUAUACAAAUGAUGACAUUUGAUGAGAUAAUUUGACAAAACAAAUCACCCUCAAUGAUCGUCAGGCACCAAAACAAUAUUUUAGCUAACUUUUUACAAAUCGACCAAGCUAAUUGGUCACUGACGAAAUGAUUAAAACCAUAAACUAAACAAAAAGAAAAGAAGUAGUUUCCAAUACUUGGAGAAUCAUGUAAUGUUCAAUGAAUCCAUACACUGCGUUGAUUAGUGAUCUUGUCCUUAUGUGAUUAUUGCAAAUAGUAUAAUAUUUACUCUGUGAAAUUAAAGGAAUAAACAAAUGGGGGCAAGUAGAUGUUCGUGUCUCUGAUCUUAGCGUACGAAUAAUAACUCUAUAUUCUUGAAGGUGAUAUUAUGUGGCGUAUAUAUUUCUAUGCCUCCACCACAAUUUGUGUUGUAGUCUUUUAUAAAUUGAUCCGAAUAAUACACGUACGAAAGCUUCAUUAGAAUCGAUUCUUUAGAUAGUUGCACCAUUCCAUUCUUCAUUUAUUUACGAUUAAUAUUCGCGUUACCACUAUCUAUAUUAUAUAUAUAUAUAUAGGUUCGUAAUUUCGUAAACAACUACAAUCACAUAACCGAAAGAAAUAUAGAUAUGAGGUAAUCUUAUCUUUUAAAGGUUACAAACAUGUCCGAUCCGGGCAUAAGCACUGACGUACAGGUUACAAGAUUAAAAACUUAUUUAGUAACUAGAAAGAGUUUGGAACUCUUUAGAUCAGAAACGUUGUAUAGAACUGAUGAGAAAGGAGAGCUCAGGAAUGUAUAAAACACAUUGAUUUAAAGUGUUUUGUUUUGUUAAGACAAGCCAUACAUCAGGAACGAUGUUUGAGUCCAUAGCCAAAGCAAAAGACAAAAACUCUUUGAAAGAUUCGACCUUCGAACGCCAUGAUGAUGUUGUCAAAUCAAAUAUAGUGGCGGGUGUAUGUGUUUAUACCUUCUUUUUUUUCUCCCAUUCGAAAUGACGUCGUUUUGAAUAUUUUCACUGUAGAUUGUGUAAACUACGUCGUAUUGACUAACCCGAGAAAACAAAAAACAAAAAACAAAAAAAUCACGACGAAAUAAAGCGGCUGUUCAUCUUCUUCGAUUCUGGUCUUUUUUCAUAGGAGGCGGGCGAUUUUGACUGCUUCUAAUUCUCGCCGGCGACAAUACCUUACUGUUUCUGAUUUCAUCAUCCUUUUUCCUCUCACGUUGUUUCAGGUAAAUCUCUUUUUUUUUUUUUAUUAGGUUUAGUUUAGGGAUUUCGUAAUCAGUUUAAGAGAAUCUGUUUCUUGUUCGAUUAUUUUUUUGUGCUUUGUUUCGUAGAUUUAUUUACCCGAGUCUUUUGUUUCCUUAGGUUCUCAGUUGUCUCUGUAUAUUGGUUUGCUUGCUUAAGAAAAUUCGUUAAUCUUUUUAUGUAUUGGUUUGCUACUAAUUAAACAUAUUCUCUCUACAAUGUCGACAUGUAUAGUGAUUCUUUUUUGUAUUUCAAUUUGACGUGUCUUUGAUUUCAUGUUAUGCAAACAAACUAAACAAUUUGGUAUCUUAUGUCUUUUUGGUGACCAUAUUGAUAUCUUCCACCACUUGUAAAGAUGAUUUCAUACAAGAGUUCAUGAUUAUUUUAACAUUUUAAACUUUUUGCUUCCUUUAUGAGUUUAUCCUAGGAUUACUUUGAAGAUGUAAGUUUUGUAAUGGUGUUUGUUUCCAAGAUACGAUAGACAAGCUAAAACAUCUCCUGUGACCAUCUUGAAACAAUUGAGUUAAAGAUUAGAUUUUCCUUUGAACCAUCUUGGCUACACUCUGUUCUUUGUGUCUCGUUUGAAGGCUUUUAUGAGUUUUCCCACACCUUGAGACUUGUCAUAAAUCUCUGAUUGUGAACCCAUUGAUCUUUUCAUAAACAAUCUGUGUUAGUUGUCUGCUGUGAACUGCUGUUUAUAAUCAGUCACUAGCUCUUGUCAUUCAUCACCAAGUCAGUUAUUGAGUUUAUAUUUACAAUCUUUUGGGUUUAAAAAUGUUGUCCCUAUGAGGAACUAGUUUUUAUGUAUGUUUCCCCUUCUGUUCUUGUUAUUCAUGGUGGAUGAUCAUUUUGCCUUGAGCAGUCAAGAAUUGAUCAUUUUGUCUCCUUAUGCAGAUAUCAAAACAUUUUCUUGAGCUAUGAGCACAGCGACCCGGCCUUCAUCUUCAACAACAACAACCUCUGUCAUCUUAGAAACCCCUAUUUCUCAACCGCAGCUGACAGAAAGAUUAGUCCUUCGUUUGACCCGGAAGAAGAAGAAAGUUUCAUGGAAGGACGGGACCGUGGACAACGAGUUUAUGCAGAGGAAGAGUUCAAAGAAAUGUUGUAUCUUUCACAAACAGAAGCCCUUUGAUGAGGAUGACAGUGAAGAAGAAGAAGAAGAAGAAGACAACAACAACCACCACCAUCACCAUGAUCAUGAACAUAACCAUGAACACUCCGAAUCUGGCAGUAAGGCCUCGUCGUCUUCAAAUGAUAUUAAAGCUGAUGACUGAUCGAUCGGGUUCUCUUAUCACUAUUAUAGAGCUAUUCAAGCCUUUUUAAUGGAUCAGUGAAGAUAACAAUUUUGAUAUUUUGGUUUCAUUUUCUACUCUUCCCGUUACAUAACCCUGGUUUGGCUUUUUAUAUGUAAAUACAGUGUGCAGAUUCCGUUGCAAUUGAUCAAUGUUGACUAACCAACGUAUGCAAAAAAAUCAGUCAUAUUGAAUUGAAUGUUUCAUUAUGUCAGAAAAAUAUCGCCUUAAAAAUCUUGGAAAUGUAAAUGAUCCCACAUAAAGAUUCAACUAACUUUACAAUUCUCAAAUGGUAUGGAUCUUCUUAGAUGGUCUUCACUUGUAAUCAUGACACUCGAUGAGAAAAAUUUAACAAAUAGAUAACUCUCACGCACCAUAAAGAAUGGCUUCAUAUCAACUUUUUGCAAGCCUACCAAGAAAUAGGUGCAAGUGGUCAUGGAUGAAAUGAUUAACAUAUGAACCAAAAGUCAUUUUUUCCAAUAUCUGAAAAACUCGUAUAUAUGUUCAAUGAAUCUAAUUGUGUAUUGGACAAAUGAUGUUGUCCUUAUUUGACUGUUGGAAAAUAUACUCUGUUGAAAAGGAAUAAUAAAAAGUUGUACUCGUGACUCUGACUUAGCGUAAGAAUAACACUAUAUACUCCAGGGCAAUAUGUGGAUUACAUUACUCCAUCUACGGAUUCUCCACCACUAUUUUUAUAAUUCGAUCAGAAUAAUACACGUACGAAAGCUUGAUCAGAAUCUAUUCUUUAGCUAGUUGCUCCCAUAUAAGGCAAAAAUAUAUUAUGUUUGGAUGGGCCAAACAGCAAAAGGUAAAAUAAAAUAAAACAAUGGCGGGACGGGAACUAUAGCUGUUAUUUAUACUCUGCAGAGGUUGUCGAGUGAUUAAGAGGUCUGGUCCAGGCUUUUUGUUGGUGAUGGGCCCUCAAAGGAAGCCCAUUAUUUAAAUACUGAUACUGUGACUAGUCAAAUCAAAUCUCUUGAAACAAAAAGUCACCUAGGUCUUCAUCAAUCCAUGUGGGAAAUGGUUUGAAUGUGAUUAACGAUAUCAUACCUUAAAUGGAUUUUGUUUUUAAAAAAAAUAUGAUUUUAAUUCAAGAAAAGAAUUUUCAUAAGUGUGUAUACAGUUUAUAAAACAAUUCGAAUGAUAGAAAACAAAAGUUACAAAGCAUGAGGUGUGUGUGUGGCGUGAGUUUGAAAAUAAGUAAAUGGGUCUAACCUAAGUUGCUGACAGGUUUUGGCAUUUAUACUUGUAAGUACAUAAACAUUGAUUAGUGUUAUUUAAUUCAUCACUAAUUUAUUAUGGAAACUGACGAGAGUGGGUGAACGAAUACUGUAUAUCACUUUGAUGUGUGACUAAGGAAGUUGUAAAACAUUUUUUUGUAAUAUAAAUUGCAAUCAAAACUUUGUUAUGUAUGAGUGUUGACGACAAAAUGUGGUCUUUAUAUAUAAAAUAAAAAAUAAAAAAAAAUUGAGGGCAUCAAAGUUUUUGGCUUUUGCGGCUAAUGGAGAAACAGUAACACGUAGAGCGCACUCCCCCGUGGUCCAUAAAGCCACCAAACCUCUCUCAAUUAACCCAAAAAUAAUUAACAUAAUUAUAAUUUCGAAAUGGUGUAUUAAUUACAUUUUACUGAUCUAUUCUCUCUCUUCUAUGGUUCUCAAUGAUCUUUAAUUUUUUAAUCAAAUUCAUAUGUUGAUUCCGAAAUAGAUAAAACUUUACGAAAAAGCAAAAGUAAAAAACAAUAUAAAAAAAAACAUAAAUAAAGAAAAAGCAAAAACAAAAGAAAAUAAAUAAGGAAGAACAAAAAAGUGGAGGAACGUGGCACAAUUCCCCGUGCGUGCUUUUGCCUUCGCUUCCCAGACGCAAAACGCAGACGCACCCAAUAUCAAAACUGCUUCCUCUCUUCUUCUCUCUCUCUCUCUCAGAUCGAUUUUUUUGGGUUUUUCCGAUCAUUCAACGGUAAUCUCCGCCGUUUAUUUCAUCAACGGAGGAGGAUCUAAUCUCCGUGUACGUAUGCCCUUUUCUUUAUACAUACGCCUUUUCCUUGAUUUUUUUGAUUCCGCCGAAACCUUCUUCGUUCUCGUGAGACCCCUUUGUGUCGUCGUGAUUACGAAAUCGACUUAAGAAUUUGUAGGUUGAUUUUGUUGUUUACUUGUGUAUUUUGUUAUUCUUCUUCUCCCUCUUCUCUGAGCUUUUGUUAAUUCAUUUUGUAUCCAUUAGAAUUGAUCGCUUAAUUCAUAACAUGAUCAAAAUCAUAAUUAGUUUCUUCAGUAUCUGAGUUUGUUUUCGAGAUACUCUUCUCUUCCCUGUGUUCCAUUUUGAUCUGUGUAUAUUUGGUUAUACGAAUCUCAGAUCUUAUUUGUAUUGUGUUUUUUUCUCGGUGUGCUUACUAUGAUCUGUUUCUGCAGGGUUUACAAUAGGUGACUGUUGUUACUGCGUGAGGACGUAUACAAGUUGUUUGCAAGUUUUGUGUUUAAGUUAAAGCAGCGUAUUGGAGAAUAAUAGAGAUUAUGGGUUCAGUUUGUUGUGUAGCUGUGAAAGACAGAAAGGUUCCUCCUAGUAGUGGUGGACCUGCCAGUGCGUCUGUUCAUCGGAACUCAGUUUGUUCGCCGCAGUGGAGUUUCCGGCGUGACAAUAGGAGGCGAGUGGCUGAUGAGAUUGAGGGUUCACCUUAUUACAGUUCGUUUGUUGGGAGUAGAGGUAUUAGUAUGGAUAAGAUGUCAUUAGGGUCUGAUAGAGGAACUUUAUCUGAGGGAGGAACUCCUCCUGAUGGGCAUUUAGGGACUCCUGCCUCUCACAAAUCAGCAACUCCAGAGAUGAGCACUAAUUCGAUGGUUCCACCUUCUUCAGGUUAUUCUCUAAGACAACAACUAUUGGGAGAUUUAUCUUACUCAUUAUUUUGAGUCUGUUUUAGUUCUUUCCUUAAAUCUUCCCAUUCCACCAUCAUGAUCAAAGAUGGAAAAGCAUUUGUAGUCUGAUUAUAUUUAUUCUGUUGUAUAAAGCUUGCUAGUUUUCAUUAUCUCUUGUCGUUGUUGACUAGAUAUAGUUGCCAAGUCAAUUUUAAGUAGGAUGUUUAUGACCAUAUUCUAACUUGGCACCAGGAACUAUUACUGUAAUAUAUUAAGCUUGCUUAAUGUGCUCUUGCGGUGUCUUAUGUUACACUUUUGUGUGCGGCAGGUUCAUCCUUGGCAAGCAGUGAUCUCAUUGAGGUGAGAUUAUCAACUUAACUCAUAGUUUGAGCUUUACGAGUUUUGAUUUGUUCUCUGUCAUGUGUUUUUCUUAAGCACCUUUGGUUUCCUUACAAUUUGAGGUUAAGAGUGCUGGGCUUUCCUUCUACUUGUGUUUCUCCUAGGGAAGUAUUAUCUUCUUUCCUUCAGGUUUCCUAACCUCUUUUUGGUUCUUCAUUGUUUCAGGUGAAGAAUUUCAUUGACUCACCUGGAAUUGUCCCAUCAGCUUUACCGAAACCUUUGUUCUCUACGCCUUCUCUUCCCAAUCCAGUCGGUGAUCUUUCCUCGACGCACACGCGUUUGCUUCCUCCUAGAUCUACACCAUCAAGACGGGCUCGGCGUUCACCUGGGCACCAGUUGUUUAGGCAGGUUUCUGAUAGUCAAAUUUUAGGAUUGAAAUCCCCAAAUAACAAUUACUCAGUCUCAGAAGGAAGGUCAUCUUUUGUGCUUUCGACCUGUAGCAAUGACUUCGCCACUGGAUCCCAAUACGCAUCCUCUGAAGGUGGUUGGUCUGUGAACACUUUUUCUGAGCUUGUGGCAUAUUCUCAAAGGGAGAGAUGGUCCUUUGAUAGCGAACACUUGGGUUCUGGCAGACGGAAACUAAGUGGUGGUAGCAGCAGAUUCUCCUUCUCCCCUUCCGUUGUUGAUCAGCAGACUUGUGGAGCUUGCUCAAAGUUACUGACCGAGAGGUCCACUAUUGCCAAUUUCGAGCUCCCAAUUGCUGCUGUUCUUGCUUGUGGCCAUGUUUACCACGCAGAGUGCUUAGAGACCAUGACUACUGAAAUAGAGAAGUACGAUCCUGCCUGUCCCAUAUGCACGAUUGGGGAGAAACGGGUUGCGAAAAUAACAAGGAAAGCCCUAAAAGCAGAGGCGGAAGUGAAGGCGAAACAGUACAAAAGAUGUAAAAACCGGGUGGUAGAUAGUUACGGUGAAAGUGAAUGUGAUGAUUUCGAGUUCCAGAAAAUGGGAAAACGAGAAGGCGAAGCGCUCAAGCUGGAACCUAGUUGCAGUAGCAAGAGCUCGUCUAAUAAGUCAUUCUUGAAAUGGCACUUCGCUUCUAUCAGCUCCAAGUGGAGUAAACCCUCGUCCAAAGACUCUGCAUUGAAGAAGGGGUUUUGGUCUAGACAUCGUAAUAACCGUUCUUCAUCAAGCAUAGAGGUAAAGAUCUAUACACUGAGAUAUUUCCAAUCCUGAAUUGCAAAAGAAAUGAUAAUCUUGUAAUAACCAAUAAGACGUAUUUCAGGGACUUAACCAGACAUCGCAGCUAUGAUGAAACCCCAUGAUCUGGAUCAGAGGCAUGUGGGUUAUUUAGGAAAGCUUUGUAAAAAACAGAUAUUCAGCUUCAGCUUUAGCCUUUAGAGCUGUGUUUUAACGUUUUUUUUGGGAUAUUUUGUGUGUUUCAGUGUAACAUGUGGGGGAUAAUUUUUAGUAAUGAAACAAACACGUCGUUUUAGAAAUUUUUGAGAAAUUGCCAGACACUAACAGAGAUUCUAAGAAGUUUUUUUAAAACAAUCAUCUCACACUAACAGAGAUUCUAAGAAGUUAUGCAUAGCACGAGGUUUACGGAAGAUUUAAGAGGAACUCACAAUCUGUUUCAGUUCUUGUAGCAUAUAAAGGGAAUCAGAUCAAAUAUUUUGAUUUGCUCACACUUGAAAGUAUUGUUUAUACCACCAUGAAGAGUAUACACAAAACGUUACAAUAUUGGCUUACCAAAGUGUACAUAAGGCUCAGUUUCAUAUACAAAUGUAAAGACUAAGACCUACAGUUUUCACAAAAUCUAUCCUUUUUAUAUGCCACAAACAAAUAUUACAGAUAUACAAAUAUGGUAUAUAUUUAUAUAACCCCCUAUCUAUAAGAAUGCGAAGAGCGCAUUUUUCUUGCGCUUCAAGAAUCAUAUUCCCCAAUCAACCGGCAUUGCCAGCUCUUAAGUGCGUGAAAGCCUUUCAGACAACAAAGUCGUGUAAUUGAUGGGGAUUAGAGAAUCUGCCAUCUUGCUGGUUUCCAAGGCCAACGUAGCGAUUGUAAUCAUCGAUACCAAACCCAUGAUAGUUCAUCAAGCUGUCGUACUCUCCAGUAGCAACACGGUCUGGUUUCGGAUCUGCAAACACGAGAUUCUCUUCUGCAUCAGAUCUAUAUGCCAUGUUGUUGUUGUUGUUUCCCUGAUUCUGUUGCUGCAAAGAAGACUCUUCGUGUUUGAGCUGAGAAGUUUCUAGCAUUUUGUUGUUGUCUUGAUUAGAGUUAGAGAGUAACUCUGAAUCUCCAAACUCUUCUUUAUACAUCUCUUCGAUCAUCGGUUUCCAUAGUCGAACUCUCGCGUUAAUAAACCAGUUUGCAACCUUGAAAAUGUCAAGAAUCAGAAGACCGUUCAAAUUAAAGCAACAUCAAAGAUUGAGCCAACAACAAAACUGAGACCUCGCCUUCUUGGUUACCUGGUUUUUCGAUAGUCCUGUCUGCUUUGAAAGCAUGAUUUUCUCUGAUUCCUUUGGAUAUCUACAAAAAAGCUUGAAAUGGUUAUUACAUAAGCAAAGAGAAGCAAAAACAUAGUGCCUUCUUAAACCAACAACUUACGGGUGAAGGAAAUGCUCAAAGAGCCAAGCGCGGAGUAUAGAGACAGAGUUUUCAGGUAAGCCUCUUUGUGGUCUCCAAGCUGGUCUAACCAUUCCAAGCUGUUGAUGCAAAGCUCUCUGUUGUCUCAACCUUUGAUCUAAAUACCUAAGACGCGGUAUCCUCUCUCCUUGUUCUUCAGAAGUCUCUCUCUCACCAAGCUUCCCUCUGAUUACCUGAAUCUGCUCUUUUAUCGCGUCCCGCAAGCAGCGGAAAUGGCGAGAGAUUCUAUUCAGAGCCACUGAUGUGUAAGGCUUAGCUGCUCCAAGACCUGUUACCAUCUCGAAAGACGAAGCUAAAGCUUCCAUUUGAUGGUGGUAUUGGUUAUACCUUUUAUCUACCUGCAAACACAAUCAUCAAAGCUUAAAAAAAUUCUAGUCUCAUGACCUCACUUUAAAAGUAUUGAAAGAUUUGUCUUACCUCGUCCACCAUUGUUAGGAGCUUGCUCUUCUUGUUCUGUAACUCCUGACGUUCUGAUGGAGAUAACUCCUGCGAUUGGGAUUUCUCAUCUUCUGUAAUGUUAUCACUCGACCCAUUUUGAAAGUCUUGACCUUUAUCGUUCUUCAUCUUCUUGUUCCCCAAUUUCAGUUCUUUCCUAACACUAACAACUUCAUCAAGCAAUUGCUGAGUGGGUUUAAGGUAACGAGAUCUCAGAACACUACUCACAAACCCUGAUGUCUCGUAUCGGUAGUUGUUGAAGAAUCCAACACCAUUGUUGUUGUAACCAGAGGAAGGUAUCAUUUGGUCAGAGUGAUGUUGUUGUUGAUGAUGAUGAUGACCACUCAAGCUCUUCCCAUUCUCAUCGGACAUAGUAGAAGCAUUAGGAUUACUGUAAUUCAAUUGGUUGGAAAGAUUCUGGUAAUGGUAUUGAAAGGGAGAGACAGAGACAGCUGACUGGAUCUGAUUACCAAGGCUUAAAGAAAGACCACCACCGUGAAAGCUUAGAUCGUUACUCGACACCGUUACGUUCCCGUUGACUGCAACGUCGCUUGUUGGUGGGAUAAAAACCAUCUCGUUGUUGUUUCGAACACCGCCGGAGACAAUCUCGGAGAAAGAUGCAGCAGAGGAAGAAGAAGCUUGUUGUUGUUGUUGUUGUUCGUUGAGGUAAAUGGAUUCUUGAUACAGAGAUUGCAUGCCGACACUGUUUGGAUAAUACACAGCCAUGGAUUUGUGGUUUUGUAAUGAAAGAAAAAUGCUGUUGUUACAUCCGAUUGAAUAUUUUUGUCUGAAAAUGAGAAGAGAGAGAGAGAGAGACGUGUAAGUUUGAAACUGAGUAGUGGAUAAUAAAAGAACAAUCUUUGAAAUGGUUAAAACAUCAUAUUCUUUUACGCCGCAAUUACAGAUGAAUUCAAGAAAAGAGAGAAAAGAAAAAAACAAAACCCAGAAAUCCCCAAAUUAGGUAAAAGAAGAUAUCAAAAACCCUAAUUAAUCUUUGUUGUACAGAUGAAACUUUCCACUUCAAUCAGUGACGCAAAGAAAAAAAAAACAGAGCAUGAUGAUGAUGAUGAAACCAUGAGAUAUAUAAUUAUAAAGUGUUCUCUUUUCUUUUUGUUGGGUUAUACUUUCACAAGAAUUAACAGAGAUGGUGAUGGUAAAAUCUCUAAAAAGGAAAUCUUUUUAAUAUAAAAGGUACAGGUCAAUCAUAGUCUUGAAUCAAGAAACUGCUAAUAAGAACAAUCGAAUUAUUUAAAAAGAAAUGGAAACAAAAAGAAUCAUAACCUGAGAUGAUGAAACUUUUUUUAAAAAAAAAGCCUACAAAAGAGAGAAGAGAGGUUGUGGAUGUGGCUGCAUCAGGGAACACAACAGAGAUAAAAAGAAGAAGAAGAAUAAGAAGAAGAAGAAGAACUUCGAACAACAGUCCAAGACAAAAAGAGAUAGAGGGAGAGAGAGAGAGAGAGAAAGAGCAGACACCCAAUCCCAAGAGACGAUUUUAUAAAUCCCAAUAUAUUAUAAUAAACUAAAAAAAAAAAUUGGUGCUUUCACUCACAAAGAAGAGAACCAAACCAUCUUAUCAUUGGAACCUCGACAACAAACCCUGAUUUUAACAAAUAAUUUAAAUGUUUAACAAAUAAUAAUAUAUCAUUAAACCCUAUGGAGAAAUUUGACAAUCUCUACCAGUAAUUCUUUUUUGUUUUUAUUUAUUAAUCCCAACCGAAGCUUCUGUAUCAAAUUAUCAAUAAAAUAAUAAUAAUAAUAUUAGAUUUUUGUUCUGUGGCCAACCAUUUAGAGAAUAGCACGCGUGAGCUGAAAAUUCAUUGUAUAUAAUUCUGAUAGGAUUAUCUUUAGAUAAUAGAGAAUAUUUUUAUAAAUAUGACUUUUUAAUAUAUAUAUAUUCAAGUUAAUCUGAUGAAACAAAAGAAUAUUAUUGGAACCCGAACGAAUACUCUGUUGUCGUUGACUUGACUUGGUACUUAUAUAACAAUACAAUUACACAAAAAAUAUAAGAAUAUAUAUAUUUUUCAUUUAAAAAAUGAAGAAAAGAGUUGAGUUUUUCAUAUUUUAUGUUUUAUGUGUCAAGUUUAAUAAGUAGCUUGGAAACAAAUUCAAGCAACCGUUGAAUUGUUUUUACUAUUAAAUUUGUCCACCAAAGCUUUGAUGAGAGAUUAAUUUCUAACUAAAGAAUCUCAAAUAUUAGUUGUGGGUGUGCUAAUAAAAAUCAUGGGUUAGUCUUAAGUCUUAACCAACAACAACAUAUAUGUUUUUAUAAUUUCUUACAUGAUUGCGGUACGGAUCGUUGGGGUUCUAAGCGAACGAGAAACAUGUGUUACGUGACUACUAGUAUAUGAUACUACUUCAUAACUAAUCUAUAUAUAUAUAUAUAUAUAUAUAUAUAUAUAUAUGAUGAUGUAUAUAAACGAUAAAACUCUCUAUAAAUAAUGUAAUUAAAAUCAACAACAGAAACAUUUUUUCUGCUCUUCUAUUGUUGUUUAUAAGGGUAUACGUGUUCGUUUGCUUAAUACGUCGGGCACACAUUUCUUAUUAAGUGACGUGCAAAAGAGGAAACUAAAAUAACUCCGCUUCUUCUUUUUUUCAGGAUUUUCUAAUUUCUUUAACAUAAUUCACAAACAAAUAAAGAAGUAGAAAUGUCAACAAAACAAAUAUAUUAAAAAAUUAAGUUACUAGAAUUACAAAAGCAACCCUAUAAAACCUAAGAGAAAAUUUGAUUUGCUUUGAGGAAGAAGUGUUGUAUCUUCUCAAUUGCUUAAUUGAGGGAUUAAAGGACCUUAACAACCAGUAGGUGACGACCACCCAAUUUCCUUCCUUGUAACGAAAAAUCCAAUAAUUUUGACUAACAACAAUAAACACAAUUUUCUUGAAUCAUCAAGCUUGUUUUUAUAUACUAUGUGACAUGAGGAUAUAUGUGACAUGAGAAGGGAAAAAAGUCUAUUUUAUUUUUCUAAAAAAAUAAAUAUAUUUAUAAAAACAAAUAGCAGUAAUAUGGAAACUUUAUGAUGGGUCGAUUCCUUGUCCCAAGAGGAUCUAUGGAGGUUGUGUAAUAAAUAAUAGAAAAAGUAGAACUUGAAAAAGAAAAAAAGAAAAAUGAUGAAAAAAAUUGAAACUGAAAUAAAUAAGGUAGCUGUGUCGGACGCGAGGGUUGGUGAAAGUGGCCAAAAAAAAAAAAAAAAGGCUUGGACGCCAAUUUGUUUUGUAGACGACGUUCGUUAACGGCUUUGUUGUGUCCAUUAUUCAUAAAUGUUUAUUCUUCUAGUUUUCAUUUUCUUCUGUAUAUUCUUUGUUUUAUUUUAUUUGUUUCUAUUGUUUUUGGUUGAGUCUCGGUUUUUGUCAUCGCUUGGAACAGCCGACACAAACCUUUCAAUGAGAAUCAAUGUGUUACACCAAAUCAUCUUUAUGUUCUUUUGUUAUGAGUGUAUUAUUUUUUUAAUGUACAAUUGGCAAACGACUGGUGGAAUAUAUAUGUGAGUAAUAAAUCCAAACGUAUUGAAAGGUUCAAAUAUUUUUAACUUUCUAAACUAGGUUACAUGAAUGUGGUUUUCUAAAGCGAAUUAUGAUGAGUUUCUCUCAUAAUAAUACUUAUAAUUAGAUUUGAAUCGAUGAUGACAGUGCUAAAUGAGGAAACGACGAGUAAGAAACCAACAGCUUUUGUUUGGACAAAAGCUUUCUCCCACAUUUAGUACACCUACAUUAUGACAGCUAAUAAUAUUAAAUAUCCUUAAUUACGAUAUAAAUAAGAGGAUAAUUGCAAUUGGGGGAGAAAAUAAUGAACAGUUAAUUCACUAUCGAUUAUUUUACAAGAACAAUCUGAUUAAACUACAUAUGUAAAUGACAUCAAAGUAGUAUAAGAAUAAGAGUUUAUAGUAUGGUUAGAUAUAUAUGUUUACGUUGAACAGUAAUUAAUCCCAUUAGUUGACAUCAGAGUAGUAUAAGAAUCAGCUUUUGUUUCAUAAGCCGUAUAUAGCACCAUUAAAAUGCUCUGACACAAAAUCUGAUUUUGACCUAGUUUGUCGUAUCUUUACAUAAUGUUUCGCUGAGAAUGAUAUAUAUAUCCGGAGAAGCCACUAUAUUUGAGUUUCAUCUUUCAAGCGUUUGAGAAAUUACACAUGCAAUGUAAAAUCAUAAUGUUUUUGUAUCAUAAGAGGGAAAUAUAUAUGGUUCUCGCAAAAAAGAUUGACACGACCUGUGAAAUUACAUUUUCAAAACAUACGUAGAACAUAAUAAAUUGGCAGUGCAUGAGAUUUCAAAGCCAUAUGAUAAUAUUAAACCUCAUUAGUAAAUGAUACACAAUUACUAAAGUGGAGUUUCAAUUUUAUCUUGUAUUAAAAUUGCCUUUUUCUUGGUGCAAAUAAAAUUUCCCAUGAUAAUAUAGUCUAACAGAAACCUCUUCUCUCACUAGCGGCUUUAAGACCAAAUAACCCUCUUUGUCGCCUAGAGGGUUAAAGAAUUAUUUGCUUUCAAAACGGCAUGAUUUGCUUUCAAAACGGCAUGAUUUGCUUUCAAAACGGCAUGAAUUGCGAAAACCUACAAAAGUGCUAACUUCCAAGGUUCUUCUUCUCAGUAUCACUGAGUUUGAAUCAGUUCUACUCAGAGAUCCAAUUUCUUUUGCCUAAUCGUAAUCAAAAAUUUGAUUUUGGAGAUUAGUAGCUUAGUUCGAGGAGGAAUUUGCGAAGAUUUAUUGUUGAAAACCGUGGGAUGUGUGUUUAGCGGAGAAAAAAAAAGCAAUGUCGAAAGCGUCGACGAGCAUUUGGGUCACAAUGCAAAGGAAGAGAUGGGCAAUGAUGGUUUUAUUGUUUUUAUCUGUAUCAACGGUUGGGUUGAUUCUCGUGAGAUCUAGCUUUGAAUCAUGUAACUUUAGCGGCCAAUUCGUGGAGGAGAAGAAUGGUGAUAGCAGCGCCACGAAGCUUCAAUCAAAUCCUCUAGGUUUCAUGAAAUCGAAGCUCGUUUUGUUAGUUUCCCACGAGCUAUCACUCUCAGGUGCUAAAUUUGAUCCCUAUUUGAUCCGGGUUUUCGAAAAAAUCCUUUCUUUCUCUUAAGGGGAUGAUUGAUUUUGUGUGACGAAGGUGGACCGUUGCUGUUGAUGGAAUUGGCGUUUUUGUUAAGAGGAGUUGGUGCUGAAGUUGUUUGGAUUACUAAUCAGAAACCACUUGAAGCAGAUCAAGUUAUCUACAGUCUAGAACACAAGAUGUUGGAUCGAGGAGUUCAGGUUCUCUUUAUCUUUAUCUUAUCAAGAUGUAUACUGCUUAAGUUGCUGUAAAGAUGUUGUCUUGGACUUUUUCUUAGUCCCGUUGUACUGAAUUAGCAACUUUAGUGAAUACGAGUAUCAUUUACUAUAUUGAUUGACCAAGUUCUUUGUUUCUUUUUUUGGUCUUGAUGUGAACUCUCUGACUCCAGGUGAUCUCUGCAAAGGGUCAGAAAGCCAUAGAUACAGCUCUCAAGGCUGAUUUGAUUGUUCUAAAUACUGCUGUGGCUGGGAAAUGGCUGGAUGCUGUUCUCAAGGAAAAUGUUGUUAAAGUUCUACCUAAGAUCCUUUGGUGGAUUCAUGAGAUGAGAGGACACUAUUUCAAUCCAGAUUUGGUCAAACACCUCCCCUUUGUUGCAGGGGCCAUGAUUGAUUCUCACGCAACAGCUGAAUACUGGAAAAACAGAACUCAGGCUCGUCUAGGGUCCGUUUCCUCCUUUGCACUUCCUGCUUCAUGUCAAUCAUAUACAGAAAUCUCAGUUGGGUUCACCUGUUUUUAUUUCUUCUUGUAGCUUAACACUGUUCUAUGACUGUUGGAAUACAGGAUUAAAAUGCCCAAAACUUAUGUCGUACACUUAGGAAAUAGCAAGGAAUUGAUGGAAGUAGCUGAAGACAGUGUUGCCAAGAGAGUUCUCCGUGAGCACGUCCGAGAAUCUCUUGGAGUACGGAAUGAAGACUUACUAUUUGGCAUUAUUAAUAGUAUGCCAUCUUUUAAGUCUUUCCUCUUCUCAGUCCCUUGAGGAGGAUAAUCUAUUUAAGGAGUUAAGAGUUCAUGUGUAACCAAAGAAUUUACCUGAGUUUGUUAUUAUUUUCAGGUGUAUCACGAGGAAAAGGCCAGGACCUAUUCCUCCGAGCCUUUCAUGAAAGUCUUGAAACAAUCAAAGAGAAGAAACUUCAGGUACCAACAAUGCAUGCAGUAGUAGUAGGAAGCGACAUGAGCCGACAGACAAAGUUUGAAACUGAACUACGCAACUUUGUCCAAGAAAAGAAACUUGAGAACUUUGUUCACUUCGUCAACAAAACUCUAACCGUAGCUCCAUAUAUAGCAGCCAUAGACGUUCUUGUCCAGAAUUCGCAAGCCAGAGGAGAAUGCUUUGGGAGAAUAACAAUCGAAGCCAUGGCCUUUAAGCUACCUGUACUUGGUACUGCAGCUGGAGGUACAAUGGAGAUUGUAGUGAACGGAACAACCGGUCUGUUACAUAAUGCAGGGAAAGAAGGCGUGACACCUCUUGCCAAGAACAUAGUGAAAUUGGCGAUGCAAGUUGAGUUACGGUUAACAAUGGGGAAAAAUGGGUAUGAGAGAGUAAAAGAGAUGUUUUUGGAACAUCAUAUGUCACAUCGAAUAGCUUCGGUUCUCAAGGAAGUCUUGCAACACGCAAAGGCUCAUGCUUUACGAUGAGAUGAAAUCAUUUAAACUGGGAUGUUUCUUCUGUUCAUAGAAAUUUUACAAAACUACAGCAAAUUUUGUUCCUUUUUUUUUUGUUUGUGUAUGAUGGUUUUCUAAUUAUGAAUACAAAUUGAGAAUUAGCUUCGCUGCUGAAUUCGUAAGUGCCGUCGAAGUCUUGUGUCAUCUAAAUUACAGAGUGUACAUAUCCUGGAGUUAAACUGAUAAAACCAAAACGUAUGGGGUCAAAGUAGAAUAUGUGUAAAAGAGCGGGAUUUAAUAGAUAUACGUUAGUACGUUAGGAAUGUUUCAGUUGUGGAAAAUCAAACGGGAAAUAUAACAGAUUCUUUAGCUGAGAAAAGGGAAGAAAAAAAUCUCAGAAUCGUUCGUGUCCUUCGUUCUCUUGCUUUACUUAGUACUUCAAGUUCAAAGCUUUCAAGGUUCGCUUCCAUGGAAGACAGAGAAGAAGAGUCAGAGAGGAGACGCGACGCCAUUAAGACGUACAAGCAAAAGCUACUCAUUCGCAAAUUUCACCAACUAUCACUCGAUUUUGGUCCAGAUUCCUUCUAAACCCUCUUUCCCAGCUAAUGUUUGCUAUGCACGUCUCUUUCUAGGGUUUAAUGAGAAUGCAUGACAAGUGUUUUCUGUGUGUCAGUGACGAGGAUAUUGGAGCUUAUCAAGAAAGUGUUUAAAGAAACUGAACACGUUCUCAAUUACCUUACCACUACUCCUGCGGAAGCAGUUGGAGAAAUCGUAAAACCUCUAGACAAAGAACGAUGUAAACAUCUCUCUCUCUCUCUCUCUCUCUCUCUCUCUCUUUCACUUUUUCUUGAUUUUGUUUUGUUUUGUUUCUUUGUCAGAUCCAUUCACUUUCACAAAUUUAAUCUUCAGUUAUUGUGAAAGGAGACGAGGGAGUUCGUUACAUUGUGAAGUGCUGUAACAAAGUGGAUAAAUCAAAGCUAGUUUCUGGAACCAGAGUAACUCAUGAGAUACUAUCAAUGACGAUCAUGAGAAUUCUCCCUCCUAUGGUUAAUCCCUUGGUUUAUAAUAUGGUGCAUCAACAUCGUGGAGACGUUAGCUACUCCGAUCUUGGUGGUUUGUCUAAGCAAAUCAGAGAUCUUAGAGAUUACAUUGAACUUCCUCUCACGAAUCCUGAUAUGUUUCAACGAGUUGGUGUAAAGCUUCCCAAGGUUUGGAUUGAUUUUGUUGUUCUGAUUUCGAACUUGUUGUUCCCAAGAUUCACUGUGUUGAGUUAUGUUAGUAGGGAGUGCUUCUUUAUGGACCUCCUGGAACUGGAAAGACAUUGUUAGCUAGAGCAAUCGCUAGCAAUAUGGAUUCGACUUUUUUGACAGUAAGAGACUUCAUAUACAAUGCUUGUUUUUAAGAUCUCUUAGCUUGUACCAAAAUUAUAGGAUAGUUUGGUUUUUUUGAAGGUUGUUUCUAGCGCGCUUCUAAGCAAAUAUUUAGGAGAUAGUUCAUUGUUAGUGAGAGAGAUGUUUAGAUAUGCUCGUGAUCAUCAAGUAAGUUCUCUAUAUUUUUUUGCUUAAUAUAUACAUGUUUGUGAUUUUGUAUAGCUUACGUCUGAGAUAAGCUGUGUUAUUUUCUUCUUCUUAAAGCCCUGCAUCAUCUUUAUGGAUGAGAUUGAUGCUAUUGGUACACGUCGUGGAUCCAGAGAAGACGUAAGACCGUGUGAAUGUGAUAGAGUUCUCAUUGAGCUUCUUUCCCAGCUUGAUGGAUUCAAUGAACUUGAGAAGGUAUCUCUGCAUCUUUGUUGUUUUAAAAUGCUCAGCAAAAAGAUUCAUUUAUGAAUCAUGGCUUCUUGUAUUUUAUUAGGUGAAAGUAAUAAUGGCAACAAACAGACCUGAUGUUCUUGACCCUGCGCUUCUUCGACCUGGUAGGAUCGAUAAGAAGAUAGAGAUUCCAUUGCCUAAUGGAGAUUCUAGAAUGAGAAUACUCAAGAUUCAUGCUUCUGGUAUAAAUAAACAUGGAGAGAUCGAUUACGAGAAGAUUGUGAAAUUAUCUGAGGUUUGUCACACAUACAUACAUAGAUACAUACAUACAUGACUUGUGUUUGUGUAAGCAAAACAAAACAGAGCAUAUUGUUUUUAUAUUGAAAAAAUGUAUUUUUUGCAGGGAUUCAAUGGAGCAGAUUUGCGUAACAUAUGUACUGAAGCAGGGAUGUUAGCUCUACGAGCAGAGCGCGAUUACGUUGUCCCCAAUGAUUUCAUCAAGGUAAGUUAAGUUUCUGCUUAUUGUAUGAUCUUUGAUAAUCUGUUGCAAUCUUUCCCAUCUUAUGAUCAUAAAAAACACUUUUUUCAGGCUGCGACAAGACUAGGCGAAGCGAAGAAACUUGAAUCCAGUGCACAGUACGAUGUUGACUUUGGGGAAGAGUAAAGAUAGAGAAACAUACAGAAGAAGAGAUAAAACUGACUAACAAAUUCAUGAAAAGAAGAAGCAUAGAUCUAAUUAGACAGAGAACAUUUGUUCUGUUUUUAAUUGUUUCAGUCAGUUUGAAUCAUCAUUAGCUUCUCUUUGCAUGGAUUCAUCUGAGGAAUCUCCAAAUUCUUCUCUAUACAUCUCUUCUAUCAUCGGUUUCCAGAGUCGAACUCGAGCAUUUAUAAACCAAUUCGAUACCUUUGAUCAUCAUCAACAACAACAAAAAUGACCUCAUUCAAUAUCAGGAUGAUACCAAAAUUUUUAAAGCAAGAUCAGAGUCAGAGAAGUGUACUUGGUUCUUGGAAAGUCCUGUUUGAGACGCCAACACCAGCUUCUCUGCUUCAUUCGGAUAACUGUUUUCAUUACAAGAAUCAAAACGUUAUUUGUACAACAUUUUACUUCAGUUCAUCUCUACUAUUAGUUACUUAAGCAACAAGAAAACUGACGGAUGCAAGAAAUGUUGAAAGAGCCAAGCUCGAAGAAUCGCAACGGAAGUCUCAGGCAAGCCUCUGAUGGGUUUCCAAGCAUGUCUCUGUGGUCCUUGAACCAAACCAAGACGCUGAAGUGAUGAUGAAGUGUUCCCAUCGAACAAGCUGAGCUGUGAUAAGCCAGAGCUGAUGAUCUUGGGCACAUCUUGCUGAGAGAUGAUAAAUCUCCGACGAACAGAGUUGAGCUGAGAUAUGAUUGCUUCUUCAAGGCUACCGAAAUGACGAGUCAUGGCUUGGAGAGCUAAACCGGUGUAUACUUUGGAUGAUCCAUCUCCUGCUAUUUCCUCAAAUGAUGAGAUCACUUGCUCCAAUUGAUUGCAGUACAUGUCAAAUCUUUCUUCUACCUGUCCAUAAGCCAAGGAAGUAAACCGGUUUUAACCAAAAUAUAGUUACAACAAAAACAGAGGAAACCAAUCUUAAAACAUCUUAAUCCAACAAACAAAAAAUACUAACUCUUCGAAAAUUAAAGAAAUAGACCAUUUUAUUUAGAUUUUAUUGCUAUCAAUUAAAGGUUUCUAUGCUUUAUGAUUUAGAGAUUUUUGGGUUAAGGUUUUGUCUUUACACUUUAGAAUUAGUUAUUAGACUUUUAAGUUUUGGAGUUUUAAGAAGUAUACACUACUUUGUUAAACUAAACAUAUAUAAACCCAAUUUAGACUAUUUUAAAAGUCGUUUGGAUGAUUAGAGUGACUGACCUGUUGCAACAAACUGAGAAGCUUGGUGAUUUUGAUAUGAAUCUCAUGAUUCUCAGGCAAAGACAUGAAACCUGCACUGCAAAGUUCGGAUUUGAUUUCGGAAGACAAACCAAACCCGGAUCUUCUCCUUCCUGGAAACAUUUGUUGGAUUAGGAUGUCGUUGCAGAGCUCAACAUCUCUACCACCUAUAUCGAUAACUUCUUCUACAAGGCAUUGCACUGCCUUGGCAUAUCUUGAAUCCAACAAAGUACCACGAAGAGAUGAACACUCAUGUCUUACUCUAAACUCAUCCAUCUUCCUCUACUUGGAGACGUUUUUGUUACUCCCUUUGCUCCACAACAUACAUAUAUAACCAAGAAGCAAUCAGUAUAUAUAUUUUAUAUCCAUAUAUUGGCUUUUAAAAAAAUUGGAAGUUGACUUGUAGCGAAGAUAGCUUUUGAAACCCAUAAAUACUAGGCCAAUGCUAGUUAUAAACCAGAGUGCCUCCAUUAUAUUUUGUUUUUCUUCAUUUUUUUUUUUAUUUUUUUGAUAAUUGAGUAAACAUUAUAUUUUCGGUGGACUUUAUUGCUUGUAUAAAUAUCAAAUUUGAAAAUGAGGAAACUGUUGGUUGAAAUGUGUGCUGUUUACUGAGGUAGAUUCUACCUAUUAUUCGAUUAGACCCUAAAAUAGUAUAUUUUUGUGGCAACACAACACAUAUAAAAGAUAUAACGUUUAAAAACACCACUAUUUGAGGUAAUCCAUGGUCAAAGCUAAGUUUUGUAUUCAAUAAUUGUGUUAAGGAAAGCACUGAAGAUUUUGAAAAUCAUGAAGCACCUAGAGAGUAAGAGCCAAUGCUGCAUCCUGCAGCAAAGGAAUGCACUAUGCAUAGUUACCUACACCUCCACCUAAUAAUAGCACUUAGUGUAUAUCUAAAACAAUGGCAAAUCAAUUAAGUAAAAAGUGAAAACUGUCCAAAGUUUUUUUGGUUUUUGUAUAUCCUUGUCAAAAAAAAGGGAUUUCAAAAAAAUCUAUAUGGUCCCUCCCUCCCUCUGAGCACAAAAACAACAGGCUUUUGCAUAAAUGCUUCUUCUUAUCUUGUUUCAGCAUCCAUGAUCCCUUUUUUGAGCUUCUUAGCUUUGUUGGGAAGUUCAAAACCCCAAAAAGAGAAAAAGACAUACACAUGCAAACAACAAGUAUUAACUUCUCUUUACAUUUUCUUUUUAAGAAUUACUUUUCAAUAUAUGUUGCACAGGAAGUAUAAUAUAUAUAUUGUUUACUUCUUUUGCUAUUAUUCCUAUACUUCUAUACAUAAUAAUCAAAAGGGGUAAACUAGUGUAGACGUGUAGUCGAAGACUUAAAGACUUGUUUGUGGAACCAAUAAUGACUCUCUUGGGGGAACAAAUCAUAUUUCCUAACGACUAUGAUUUCAAAUUUCCACAAUUCUUCUUUAAGAAUGAUGGAGUUAAGAUUUGACAGCCAUGUAUUGGAGUUACGUUUAGUUUUCUCUUCAUGUAUAAACGAGCAUGCAUGUUUGGUCAAAAUCUUCAUGAGAGUUUUACCUUAUUAAAUGUGGAUGUAAAAGAAGAAGGGUUCAUGAUUGCUGUUAUUUAUUGGAAAAUUCAGAGAUUUUGUCUGCGUCGUCUGAACUGAGAACAAUAAAGGCAAAGGAGCAUGAAAACUUUAAAAGAGUAGUAUUCGUUGAUAAACAUGAUAGUAGGUGAUUGAUAAUUAGGACAGCUCGUAGAUGUUGAAAAGACGCUGCAAAGAUCUUGAGGACAUUGCUUUGGCUCUUUUCAUCUACACUUUCUGCUGCUAGUUGCUACUACUACACAUCCAAUGGGCCUUCGAGUCUUCGACUUUUUCACCUAUUCCUAGCUUCUAUUUAAUUUAUUCCACUAUAAUAUUUGAUCAUUUAUUUGUUUUGGUCUCACAGAGUUUUCAUAAAAUGAAAAAAGUUCAAAAAACUAAAAAUAUUCAUUAUAACAAGUAUUUUUUAUUUUUUGGGGGUUUAAUGCUCUCAUGAUUCCUUUUUUUUGUUUUAUUUAGAAAUUACAUAAAUUUCAUUUGCCUUAAAACAGCAAUUAUAUCUAAUUUAAUACAAUCCAAAGGGCAAUGAAAAAGUACUGCAAAAUAUAAAAAAUCACAAUACAUCCAAUUAACUGAAACAAAGCAUAGAAAAUUUUAAAAAAAUAUCCAAUAAUGAACAAAAAAAAAUUCUUAAACAUCUAACUUAAUCAGACAGGGAAAGUAUUUAACAAGGAUUUUUUUUAACUUAGGAAAAAAAAAAAAAUUGUAGUCUAAUAAUUUUCAUUAAUGAGGAAUAAUAAAAUAGUGAUAAUGGAAACGCAAGCAAGAACAUGAUAAGUUACAAUUUCACCCUUGGACCGUUUCAUUAACGCAGGCAAAAUCCAGCGAUCCUGGCUGCAAGUCACUGACACAGAUACACCAAAGUACGAAACGGUCGUGGAUCUUAAUAAACGCAGGAUUCUACACGUGGCGACAUCUUGACCGUCCAUUAAAACAAACAAUCAAACCUUCCGAUCUGAUAUUAAAGAUCUCUUCUUCAAUCAUCGAAGACCCCACUAGUCUCACCCCUCUGAUCCUUCCUCGAUCCUUCUUCUCAAAAGGGGAUUUGAGAUUUUUAUCUCUUUGUCUCUCAAUCUUCUAAGAAGAAGCUCCAUGACAAGCUCCAGUGCUCCUUCUCGCAAGGUUCUCUCUCACUUGCUCUGUUUAUUUGACUUUGGUUUUGGAAUUAGGGUUAUUGACUUUGGGAAAAUUGUGUGGUGUGUAGGCUCUGAGCAAGAUCGCGACUAACAGGCUUCAGAAAGAGCUUGUUGAAUGGCAGAUGAAUCCACCCACUGGCUUCAAACAUAAGGUCACUGAUAAUCUCCAGAGGUAAAAACAAUUGUGUUUACUUUUUUGAGAAUCAUGAAAUCUCCUGAGGACUUCGUUGAUGUGAAAAUUUCAUGGGUUUGUUGUUUGCAGAUGGGUAAUUGAAGUUAUUGGAGCUCCAGGAACUCUCUACGCCAACGAUACCUACCAGCUUCAAGUUGAUUUUCCUGAGCAUUAUCCUAUGGAAUCACCACAAGUGAGAGUUUUUUUAAAAAAGUUUUAUAUAUAUUGAGAGGCCUCUGUUCAAUGGUAGUUUAGUCAGUGUUAUGAAGAUCUCUUAACUAAUGUAUAUAUUGUGAGUUUUGAAUUUGUAAGCUGAUAUAUUUAGUUUAGUGUUUAGACCCUAAACUGCAUUUGCUUUUAAAUUAGUGCUUGAUGAUCAAUCUUGGAAUCUCUGAUAUUUCUCAAGUUUGGUCUCUGCUUUAUUGUGAUAUUAUCUUUGAUCUCUCUCUCGAGUUGACUUGAGUAUCCUUUUGUUUGCUUCAAUUUUGUACAGGUGAUUUUUCUUCAUCCAGCUCCUCUUCACCCUCACAUUUACAGCAACGGGCAUAUUUGUUUAGGUAUGUCAGUAUCCUCUGUUUUUAUGAUACUCUCUUGCCUCUUUUGGUUAUUUAUCUAUUACUUUUUGUUUCAUAAUAUGAUUUCUAAUGGUUCUACUUGCCUUCAUCUGAAGCUUGAUGGUAGAUGUCUUUGAUUAUUCGUGUUUAUUCUCCAUAGAUUUGGUUUUUGUCAUGGAAUAAGGCAUCUCAUCUCUCGCUUGUGUUUGGUAGGAACAAGAUAUAUUAAGAUAUUUGGCAAUAGUCCUAGUCAUAAACUCAACGGCCAUUUAUGAAUUAUGAUCCUCUGUGAACUAAUUUGGAGUCUUACUGAUAAUAGAUAUUUGAUUUAGAUCCAAAGGUAUUCCCAUAUCCAUAAGAUCAGUGUUGAGAAAAAUCUACAUCAUGGCUGAAAACAUUUUGAGCAUUUCUUGCAUUUUAUUAUUCGAAUUGUAAUGUACAUUUUAAACAUAGGCCAUCCCAAAGAAGAAGCUGAUGUUUGUGCAUCGAUUUGCAGAUAUUUUGUAUGAUUCGUGGUCUCCAGCCAUGACGGUGAGUUCGAUAUGCAUCAGUAUCCUCUCCAUGCUUUCAAGUUCAACUGAAAAGGUACAUACAACGCUUAGUCUUACCAUUGUGCAAGCCAUAUUCUGUCUUUCACAAAGCUGAACCUUCCUCUGGCUUGGUUGUUUUUUUUUUGUUGCAGCAACGACCACCCGACAAUGACCGCUAUGUCAAGAACUGUAAGAACGGGAGAUCUCCAAAGGAGACCCGAUGGUGGUUCCACGACGACAAAGUAUAAACAGGCUCGGUCGACCAUAAAAAUGUAAAAUAAUCCGAAACAGUGUCGAGGUUUGUUGACUAUUUUUUUUAAUUUAACCGGGUUUAAGCUGGCUGUCCCAAACCCAUUCUCCAAAAUCCGUGAUGUAGAAAAACAACACAAGAAAAGAAUUAAAAAAAAAUUGGCUAAUUUGAAUUUUCUACUCUAAUUUUUAAAGCCCUAAUAACAAAAUACCCAAACCUAAUCUCUCUGAUGCUUCUCUACUAGGUCAUAUAUAUACAUCAGGAAGAAUAUUUCUCAACUACUACUUUCCUCUGGUUUUGUUCUGUCACCAUGAAGCAGCUGACGAGGAAGAGGACGAUGGAGGAAACAAAGACAAAGAUGGGUUUUGAAAGAUUCUUUGGCCAGUAGCAAGUAUAUGUCGCGGAUCGAACUCAGCCUUGAGGCUUCUGAACCGAUCCCACUUGUCCCCAAAAUGAGCCACCCACUCUUCCUGUGUUGCGUGGUGGGGAAGGUACUGCUUCACGUUGAUCUUGGCUUGUUCGCAGAACUCCAAGAUCCGCCGGUUCUGAUCUUUCAGAUACUCUAGCUUCUGUGUCUCCUCACCGUCCUUUAAAGCUGAUCUCAACAGAGCCACCAGAUAGAAAACUUCCUCAUCGGGCGUCACGGCUGAGCUCCUCUCGUCCCAUCUGGCAAAUAACAAUCAAAUUACGACACGUCAGCAACGACAAUAUUUAUACACAAUUAAUAAAAUGAUGCGUUGGAGGGUUCGUUGAGAUCGGUUUGGUUUAGGAGAAUCCGAUCGGGACCCAUACACACCAUAAGUUCUAGGAACUUAAAGAAAAAACAAAACAAAACCCAAUCUGGACCGUCGGAUUUGGUCGCAAAACAAAACGAACAAAAGAGAAAAAGACGAGCCGAUGAGGCGUUAUUGUCAAUCUUAGCUGGUUCGAUGCACAUGUGGACAACGUUUUUCGGACAAUCCCAUGUACCACGUGUCGAGUUUUUUUUACGAUUUUGACAAACUGUUUUAUUCUUGGACCACUAAUUUAAUCCCCACACAAGUGUAAUUUUGCAUGCAUGCAAAACUCGUUCUGUUCUUUUAUUUCUAUCGAUGCAGAAAUAGUAGUAAUCAACGGUUAUGUUAAGACUUACUUGUCUUUGUUCAUUGGGUAGAUAAGGAUAGGGCCACUAGUUUUAUUUCCCAAAAUGCCCUUGAAAACGCCUUUGUCGAAGUCAGAGAUUCUUGAUUUCGGUACGAAGAGGUUGAGCCAUGGGUGUGGAACCUCCCAUAAGUUCUUGGACCGGAGCUUCAACUCGGCCUUGUGUACCCGGUCGAGAAAGUCCACAUACUGUAAAUCCGUUGUAAAUACCGAUGUCGGUAUGAAAUUCAAUUUUUUCAUCAAAAUUUCCACUUCCUGUAAGAAAUAAUUUAAAAAAAAAAAUCCACAUUUAAUAUUCUAAAUCCGGAAUAGGAAACGAAAGUUUACGUGGAAAACUAAAAAAAGAAAAGCUGUUUUGCUACUAAAGCCUACCAAAAACAAAGGAUAAGUUAAGAUUCCAGUAGAGUUGGUUUUAUUAAAGUUUAACUUAAGAGAAAAGAGGAAUCAUUAUUUGGUGAGUGGUCCAUGACCCCCAUCCACUACUUAAUUAGUAACCAUGAUUAAUUCGCUAGUGAUAAACUAAACAUCAGAAGAAGAAGAAGAAGAAAGAACAAAUAUAUAUUUUAAUGUGUGUAUUAUUAAGUUCAGGUGGAAAAGCUAGAUCUCUGUAGAUCCUCUCUGGCUUCUUCUUCAUGUCCUCUUCCAAAGUUAAAUUAUAAUAAAGUGUAUAACACAACAAAAAUACUAUGGAGACCACUUUUUAGAUCAUAUAAACUAAAUAAAUAUUCAUAAUGAUUUCCCCAAUAAUCGCAUAGCGUUAAAUCGUUCCAGAUACUCAUCAAAUAUAAAAAAGAAAAAUAUCUCUUUUGUUUUUCUAAAGUGAAUAAUGAAAGUGACCUGAUUGACGGUUUCGGAGUCGGAGUCGUGGUAGUUCUUGGUGAUCUCUAGGCAAUACAAAACGGACCCGUUUGAGCUAACGGACGAGAUCUUGACGGGGUUACGUGGAGAGAAGAAAGAGGAUCUCCAAUUGUUCACGAGACCUUCGUCCACUAUCACAAAACCUUCCACGUAAUCGAACUUUAGUUCACCAUGCAUCGAUAUUAAGUACUCUUGGUCCUCUGUAAACACCUCGAAGCUCGAAUACAAUACCCUUAUCCAUCUUACCUGUCAUCAUAAUAAAAUCAUUUUAGGGUUUUUAUUACCUUAAAGAUUAAAUAAACAUACUGGAAUCAACGGUAAAAAGGUUAAUAUACAUAUGGACCCGCCCGGGAUUUUAAAUUUCUAUUAUAUUAUAUAAGAAAAAAUUACCCUUUGGGGAGCAGGUUCGAGAGCGAUUCGUGCUCGUGUAAUAAUCCCAAGUUGACCUAACCCACCAAGAACUCCAUGGAAUAGCCUUGUGUUCUCGUCUUCUGAGCAUCUCAUCACCUCUCCUUUCCCUGUUUUUUUUCAUUACAACUUUUUGUUAUUAAAACUUCAAUCAAAACCAUUAUAUGAAAGAAGUUAAAUGUUUCUAAUACUAACCAGUUACAACGUCCAGCUCAAGGACGUUACUAAUCUGUGGACCAUGGUGAAAAGCUUGACCACUGAUUCCUGCAUUGGAUAGUGUACCUCCUACCGUAAGGUACAAGUAAUCAGUCCAGGAUUUUGGUGCUAACCCAUGCUCCAACGUUUUCAUCAACACAUCAACCCACAACUCUCCACCCCAAACGUCCACAUACAUUUCAUCCGGUCGGAUGAGUGGCUCCGGAGUCCCGAUUACGCCGUGGUUCAUCUCAACCACCACUCCGUUCCUCCCCACUGCGGCUUGUCCGUUUAUGGAAUGGCCGUGGCCUCGGGCUGAGACCGGAAACGCGGUGGCUGAACCAUAAGCUGUUCUGACGAGCCGUGCCACGUCUUCGGCCGAGGAUGGGUGAAGCACGGCUAAUGGCUCUUCCGGUGACUUCAACAUACCAAAGUCCGAAGAAACAGAGGCUAAGUCGGAAGGGUGGACGCUGAAAUAGCCGUCGACAACGAUGGCCCCGAUACGGAAGAGCUCACUCGGACCAACGGAUAUAAUCAGUUGACAUAUAGCGAACGACACAAGGAGAAAGCUUGACGUCAUUUCACGACUCAUCAUAGUAUAGUAGAGAAACAAGAAUCAAGAUCGAGGGAGGAAGAGAAUAUAUAGAAGAAAAGAAAAUAAUGUUUUUUUCAAGAUAAUGAAAGAUUUUAUAGGGAAGUGAGAAAACAUAUAUAUGGGGAGAUCCUUGGGGGUUCGUGAGAGCUAACGUAAGCCCAGAUUACGCUUUGAAGAUUUUCUGAGCAACAUGCACAGAUUCUCUCUCUCUUUUUUUCGGUUUGGGUGAAAACUUUAAUAUUCCCCUAUUAUAUAUAUAAAUAUAUAACUACGAUUGUUUAUAAUAUAUAUUAUUUUCGUACAAAAAAGAAAAAUUAACGAGUUUAUGCGGUUUAUAUGUGUGUGUCGAGAAUAUGAAGACAAGAGUUCUCUAUUUAUAGGACAAAGAGGUGUACCGGAGAAGAUCACGUCAUAUUCUUUAUUAACAAGUUCAUCUUUUAAACCAAAAAUCAAAAGAACCGUGUGAUAUCUACGUGUCACUGUUUAUAUUAUUAACUUUUUCGUUUCCUUUUUUGUUGUCACUGUUGGAAUCUCUAAACCAAAUCAACUUUUCAUUAGUAUGAUAUUGUCCGCUUUGGGCCCAUAAUUCAAGCUCUCACGCAUUUAUUGGGCUCCUUCCUAAAAGGCCUCAUACUAAUUGGAGUUGAAUUUAACUUAUAUAUUAGAAACUUCUCUUUCUAAUCUUUCGAUGUGGGAUAUUGGUUUGUAUUCCAAUAGUUACAAAAACAUUUUCAAGUUAAUUAACUAUAAUACUGUAUAAUAUGCUCACGUAAGUAUUUAAUUGUUUGAGAAAGACAUCGUAGACCGAAGACGUACGUAAACCAUUUGACUAAUUCAAAACUGGCAUAUAUGAGCUAGUGUCAAAAUGAGUUUUGGUCAUUUACCAAUUUGAUAUGGUUAUUAAAAAAUAAAACGUGUUGUAUGAGUUUUGAAACUCUAUAAUGAUUUGACUAUUGACUUAAAAGGAUUGUCUGAGAAAUGAAGAACAAAGCACUAGAGCAAAUCAAUCAGAUUGGUCUCCAGAAAACGUUUUACACGACAAGUUUCAUUUAAAUCUUGCGACGAUCAUUAACAAACAAAAAUGAAGGAGGAUGGGGGGGGAGGGAUAUGGUGGGAGAGGGCAUGGGAGGAGAUGGGAGAGACGGAACAGAAGAACGCCACGUGGGAUCAUUCACGUGGGAGAGGAUGAGGUCACACGUGUGUAGUUGAAAGGAGUAGGUUCCACAUUUUGGAUACGGUGAAUCGUAGUGGGGACCUGACCUCUCUCCUCUCCUGAGAGAUGAACUUAUUAGUUGUUCUCUCAUUCACGUGUUGGACUUUGCACUUCUUCGGUAAUGAAAUUAAUAAUUAUUACCCAAAUCUUUAUAAUUUGGAUUAUUUUUUAGGUUAUUAAAAUUAAAUAUUUAAACGAGAAGAUGAAAAAAAAAAAACAGUACUAUUUAGAAAGGGAAGAUAGAUAGAUUCUUCUUCUGCAGUACUUUGCAGUCGGUAGAUCCUCUCUUUGGCUUCCAUCGAUAAAUUUCUUUUUUUACAUUUUUUUUUGUUUUUGCAGUCUAGAAUCAGAAAUAUAUUGUUUAGUAGUACUUAUAAAAGAUAUGAUUCUGCGGAUGAUGAUUUAGUUGGUGAAGGUCAAAAAUGGUUUAACUAGACCUUGACUCCGUACGUUGUUUAUUUCUUACUUACUUAUAUAAAAAUUCGACUUCUUGAGCUUCUCUUCCUCGAGUUUUGUAGUAUAUUAUUAUUGUUUAUCAAGAGUUUGGACGUGAACUCGUGAAGUCAGUAUUAUACUUAUACGUCUUUGGAAGACUGAUAUUAGGAAUAGUUUAUAUAAUUAUAUGUUUUAUUUUGUGUUGUGAAUAGUGUGGGGGAAUCUAACGUCUAGCUAGAUUUGAUGAUAAUUUAGUUUGGUGGGUUGAUUUGGUACUAUAUAUAUAUAUAUCUUUUUUUUUUCUAUAAAAACAUAUGAACAGCUGCAAGUUGAGAUCUAUUUGAUGCCAAUCCAAACAUUAAUACCUUUGCACGAUAAUAGAGAUUGGUACAUUUUACCAAAUUUUCUCAUACUAUCUCAUUAUUGUCAACUUGCUCUCAUGUUUUCAUUUUUUUCUUUUGUUUCCUUCAGAUCGGAUUUGUGUCUUUAUUACCAGAUAUUAUAAUUGUCAAAAUCAGUUUCUUACUUCUAUA